CUCGGUGCUCUUUGGUAUUGUUUUUCUGGUGGCCCUGAAGUCCCUGUGUUGUGAUUGCUGUAAAUGCUGUUGUAGCAGAAGAGCUGUUUAUGACGGAGUGAUCUUGGAACAGGAAGAAGAGGUACUGAAAGAGACUUUCAGAGAAGCUGCAAAAGAGCAGUUGACCAAACGCAUCUUUAAGAAAAUAGAUGAAGCGCAACCUGCAACGCAACCUGCAGCGCAACCUCCAGUGCAACCUGCAAUGCAAAAUAAAGAUAAAUGGAUAAAAGAUCUUAGAAAUAUCGCUGCAGAAAUGAUUGAAGGCUCAGAAAAACCAAUGCUUUCUAACAACAACAAAAACAGUGGAAUGACCUACAGGAGGUUCCACAGGCACAGGGGGAGCAGCAAGUUGAAGAUGACUGACUGUUCGUGACCUGACGAGUCUGCUGCAAAAGAAAAAAAAGAAAAAAGUGAAAAUCCAAAAAAACACAACUUGGAUGUUGAGAUGCUGAAAUCAACUUAAAAAUUUCAAGCUCAUUGACAAAAAUCUAUCUUUUCCCUUUGAAUGAGUUACUUUUUCUUUCCACUCCUGUACAGAGUUACAUCAACUGCAUCUAUCUAUCUAUCUAUCUAUCUAUCUAUCUAUCUAUCUAUCUAUCUAUCUAUCUAUCUAUAUAUAUAUAUAUAUAUAUAUAUAUAUAUAUAUAUAUAUAUAUAUAUAUAUAUAUAUAUACAUACACACAUAUAUACAAAUCCUACAAAUAAGGAGUAAGAAAUGAAAGAAAGGAAAAGUAUUUCUUGAUACUUUUGGAUCUGCCUAUUUUUGUAUCUACCUUACAGCCACAUAGGGGUAUGCUGCCAUCUUGUGGCACUGCUGUAAAAAAGUAUUUUUUGGUCCGUACUUUACUUUUACUGUAUUUCGUUACCCUGUAUUUAUACAUGUGUAAUGACAAUAAAGUUGAAUCCCAAUCCUAAAUGUUGUAGAUAUUUAAAUUUUAAGUUAAUGAAGCAAAAAAUUCAAAAUGGCAUUAUUGUCUUUAUCCAAGCAUGGCAUGAAUUUGGUUAGGCUCCUGUCUAGUAUGUGGAGCCAAUGAUGAUCCUCUUUGUUUGAUUUUUAUGGUAUUUUCUCAUUUUAUUUAUUUUCUAUAUUUUUUUCUAUUUCAUUUUCAUUUUAUUAUUCCAUUA
ensembl:lncRNA